rnacentral:sRNA from 1 species
GAAGACGUCAUGGAGCAAGAAUUUCAAAUUGAAACAUUACUUUUUGCGUUUGUUCUUGGAACGAGUUUGGUCUGUCUCAAAAUCCAUCUUCUUUACCACCUAUUUUUAAUUUGUGAACUGCGAAAACUAUUGGAGAAGAGUUGUCGAUUCCUUUUGAAUUCUACAGUCUAUGCAGGGAAAUGAGAUCUAUUGUUGGGUUUUCAAGGUUACAAGUAUGUCUUAUACUAAACCAUGAACAAUGUUUGAAUUUGAUUUUAUUUUACAUCUCUUUUGUUUUCUAGGUUUUUUUCUUCUGGUUAACUUCAUGGGUUUUUGUUUAAGUUGUAAUCAAAUAAAAAAAGCACAAAGUAAGAGGGUGUUGGUUUUUUAAUUGUAGUGACAACUUUUUUUCUUCAUUUUGUCUAAGAAGAGG